AAAGAUGAUCCCCAACUUAUGAUUAUUUGACAUAUAAUUUUUUGACUUACAUUAGUGGGAAAGCAUACUCAUACAAACAUUGGUUUUUUAACUUAAUUUAACAGAGUAUUCAAUAAAUUACAGAAGAUAUUCAGUACUUUAUUAUAAAAUAGGCUUGUAUUAAAUGAUGUUAUAAGUGCUCUGAGAACAUUUUAGGAAGGGUGGGCUAAGCUAUGAUAUUAGGUAGACUAAAUGAAAUGAAUUUUAGAUAUAUUUUCAACCUACAAUGGGCUAUAGCACCAUCAGAAGUUUAGGACUAUCUAUAUUCUUAACUUUUGUCUAUUUUCUCUCUCAAUUUCUUAGAGAAAUGUGUUAAAAUUUCCCAUUGUGACUGUCAUUUUUAUAAAACAUUAUUUCUUCUUCUGCAUUUAUUAGUUUAUGAUUUCUACAAGCCUGUGUUCAUAAAUGCAGAAAGGUUUAUAAUUAUUAUAUGUUCUUGGUCUAGUGUUCUUUCUUUUAUCAAAAAGAUGUUUUUCUUUUUGAAUCACUUUUGCCGUGGAUAUAUAUCUUGUCUUUAUAAAGUACCCAGCCCUCCAGUAUUUUGUUAUAAUAAUACCAAUGGACUAAAAUGGUGUGUGUGUGUGUGUGUGUGUGUGUGUGUGUGUUUAAGUUCUCCUGCUUGGUAUUUGAUAGACCUUUUCAAAAACUCAUAUCAUUCCUCCAUUCCAGGAGAUUUUUGGCUAUUAGUUUUUUAAAUAUUGCCUUCUGUCUAUUUCAUCUAUUUUUUUUCUUUUGGAACUACGAUUAGACUCAAGUUAAAACUUUUGAGUCUGUCCUCCAUGUUUUUGUAUUUUUAUGCUUUCUAUCUUGUAAACUCUUUGGAUUCUGGCAGAUAUUCUCUCUGUUCUAUUUUUAUUUUUAGCUUACAUAUAUUCUUUUCACCUGAAUUUAAUCUGUUCUUUA
rnacentral:lncRNA from 1 species